UAGGGAAUCUUCGGCAAUGGGGGCAACCCUGACCGAGCAACGCCGCGUGAGUGAAGAAGGUUUUCGGAUCGUAAAGCUCUGUUGUAAGUCAAGAACGGGUGUGAGAGUGGAAAGUUCACACUGUGACGGUAGCUUACCAGAAAGGGACGGCUAACUACGUGCCAGCAGCCGCGGUAAUACGUAGGUCCCGAGCGUUGUCCGGAUUUAUUGGGCGUAAAGCGAGCGCAGGCGGUUUGAUAAGUCUGAAGUUAAAGGCUGUGGCUCAACCAUAGUUCGCUUUGGAAACUGUCAAACUUGAGUGCAGAAGGGGAGAGUGGAAUUCCAUGUGUAGCGGUGAAAUCGCGUAGAUAUAUGGAGGAACACCGGUGGCGAAAGCGGCUCUCUGGUCUGUAACUGACGCUGAGGCUCGAAAGCGUGGGGAGCGAACAGGAUUAGAUACCCUGGUAGUCCACGCCGUAAACGAUGAGUGCUAGGUGUUGGAUCCUUUCCGGGAUUCAGUGCCGCAGCUAACGCAUUAAGCACUCCGCCUGGGGAGUACGACCGCAAGGUUGAAAC
rnacentral:rRNA from 1 species